rnacentral:rRNA from 1 species
UACGGAGGGGGCUAGCGUUGUUCGGAAUUACUGGGCGUAAAACGCACGUAGGCGGACUGUUAAGUCGGGGGUGAAAUCCUGGGGCUCAACCUCAGAAUUGCCUCCGAUACUGGCAGUCUCGAGUGCGGGAGAGGUGAGUGGAAUUCCCAGUGUAGAGGUGAAAUUCGUAGAUAUUGGGAAGAACACCAGUGGCGAAGGCGGCUCACUGGCCCGUAACUGACGCUGAGGUGCGAAAGCGUGGGGAGCAAACAGG